rnacentral:lncRNA from 7 species
AUGGAAGAUGGAGAUCCUGGGAGCUGCGAUGAGGAGGAGCAGAGCCAGCAGUGGCUCCUGUGUGGCGAUGGCUGCUUUGUGUGGUGCUCCUGGGCUGAAAGGAGGAGGAGAAAAAAGUUUUUAGUGUGGUUCUUCAAAGCUCAGUUUCCCUUCCCCAAGAAGCUAUGGGGAGCUUCUAGGUCUAAUGCUGUUCCUCUGCUUUUGAGGUAUGCCCCUGAAAUACUGGUACUGGAGUCAGCCUCUGCGGGGUCUAAGUGGGUGCUGAGGGGUCCUUUCUCUGGAAGAACUACUGGCUGGUGACGGCUUCUUGUAAAGAUGGUUUCUACUGUGGGUGGAAAGGCUCUGUUCUACAUGUGGGAACGGGGAUGCCUAAGAAUAUCUGUGCUAAAAUGGAAUGGGUAGGAAGCUAAAGCUCUUGUAGUUGAAGGGGAUACCUGUCUGCCUCCAGCUUAAAACAAAAGUGCAAUAAAUCCUUACUUACCACAAAAAAAAAGAGGGGGCACCUGCUAUUUCUGUGCUUGGGGCUUCUUCCUUCCCUGGCUGAUGCCAUUGGUUCAGCAAUCUUGAGGGAUGAGAAAGGGGAGGAAAACGAUGCCUUUGGUCAGCUGUUUAGCAUUGCAUGUUCUGUAAAAUAAAUAAAAAGUGAGCCUUAUGUCAAUAACAAAUGCUUACAAAUCAUCUACUUCAACAGUACAAUGCCUCAGACUCACUUCACUCACCAGAUGAAAUCUCUGAGGAUCUUUCCUGUGUCUGUAUUGUUGCAGCUGAAUUUCUGCACGGCAGCCUUUCUCGAUUGCAGUAGGGCUUCCCUGGCUUGAAGAUGGGUGUGCUGUCCUGAGGGAGGAGCAGUGUUGGCUGUCUUACAGUGACCUUCUGCUUUCCUUUAAGAAGAGUCCACUAAGAACUGUAUCGGGUUUUUCAGUAGGUAACUCAGCAAAAAUGCCAAAUAUGUUGUCCUGUUUCCCUUUAUAACAAAAGAUGUGGUACUUUGCUGGGGUUGCGCCUUUGUGUUCAAUGUUUGUAUGCAGUAUAUUGUAUCCUCCUGUGGGAGUCUGCCAUUAUUAACUGCACUGUUAAUAACUUAUUAUUAAUAUAUUAUAUUAAUAUAAACUGUAAACUAAUAAUAAACUGUUAUUAUUAAUAAAUUUACAGUUUAUAAUCCAGUUGUGCUGUGAGAGAAGUGCAGCAGCUGGAUAAUGCAGGAUAGAAAAUGGAGUUGACAGAGAUGCAAAACUGCUCUCCUACUGCCUUGACUUGAACUGUGUCUCAGUGUGCUAUUACACUGCCUCACUAGUGCAAGCAAAUGUGUACCAUGAGGAAGGGCUGUUUUCUGAUGUGGGAUUUAGUUCUUGGGCCUGCUUUCCUGACAAGGGUUUUCUUUACCUACUCCCAUGGAUGAUAAAUGCUUUGAACUAGACCAGAGGAUAAGACUUCCUGCUUUUUAAACCCAGGCUUUCUCUUGAGCAGGAGGCUGUCACUGGAACACACAGGAACAGUCAGAGCAAUUACUGCAUUGG